AGGAGGAACAGCCCCAGUGGCCGGGCCGGCUCUGGAGCCCUGGAUUCAGCUCCUGCUAUAGCUACAGAGCUCUCAGCCUGCAGGACCUGGAGGCUUGGGGCGGG
rnacentral:pre_miRNA from 1 species